UACGAGGGGUCCUAGCGUUGUUCGGAAUCAUUGGGCGUAAAGGGUGCGUAGGUGGCCAUUCAAGUCAGUUGUGAAAUCCCCGGGCUCAACCCGGGAAGUGCUUCUGAUACUGUUUGGCUUGAGUACUGGAGAGGAUAGUAGAAUUCCAGGUGUAGUGGUGAAAUACGUAGAUAUCUGGAGGAAUACCGGUGGCGAAGGCGGCUAUCUGGCCAUGUACUGACACUGAGGCGCGAAAGCUAGGGUAGCAAACGGGG
rnacentral:rRNA from 1 species